UACGGAGGGGGCGAGCGUUGUUCGGAUUUACUGGGCGUAAAGGGUCCGUAGGUGGUUUUAUAAGUUAGGUGUGAAAGCCCGGAGCUCAACUCCGGAACUGCACUUAAAACUGUAAGACUAGAAUCAUGGAGAGGAUAGUGGAAUUUCCAGUGUAGAGGUGAAAUUCGUAGAUAUUGGAAGGAACACCAGAGGCGAAGGCGACUAUCUGGACAUGUAUUGACACUGAGGGACGAAAGCGUGGGGAGCAAACAGG
rnacentral:rRNA from 1 species